GGAGCCUAUUGUUGAUACUACAGGACAAGAAGGAAGUGAUGAUCAAGAAACAAGAAGAUUGAAGAAGCAGUUAGCACAAGAGUUUGAAACCAAGGACUUGGGCCAAUUAAGAUACUUUCUGGGAAUUGAGGUGUCUAGGAGUGCAAAAGACUGGGCUGGAUCACUGGAUGAUAGGAGAUCUACUUCAGGAUAUUGCACCUUUGUUGGAGGCAACCUGGUCACUUGGCGCAGCAAGAAGCAAAAUGUGGUGGCUAGAUCUACAGCUGAAGCAGAGUUAAGAUCUAUGGCACAUGGGGUAUGUGAAGUGCUAUGGUUGAAAAUUCUUUUAAUGGAGUUGGGGUUAUUUCAGUAUAAGCCAUUAUUAUUAUACUGUGAUAACAAGGCCGCUCUUGAUAUUGCUCACAAUCCAGUGCAACAUGGCCGAACGAAGCAUAUUGAGAUUGACCGACAUUUUAUCAAGGAAAAGCUAGAUCAUGGAAUUAUCUGCAUGCCAUAUGUGUGUUCUUCUGAUCAACUGGCUGAUAUCUUAACUAAAGCUCUACCAGAAAAAGUAUUUUCUAAUUUAUGUAGCAAGAUGGGGCUAUAUGAUGCAUUCACCCCAUCUUGAGGGGGAGUGUUGUAGGACCUAGUUGUAAAUAGGAACAUGUUAAGAGACUAAAGUGUAUAACUACAAGAUGUAU